rnacentral:rRNA from 1 species
UACGUAGGGUGCAAGCGUUGUCCGGAAUUAUUGGGCGUAAAGAGCUCGUAGGCGGUCUGUCGCGUCGGCUGUGAAAACUCAGGGCUUAACCCUGAGCCUGCUUCCGAUACGGGCAGACUAGAGGUAUGCAGGGGAGAACGGAAUUCCUGGUGUAGCGGUGAAAUGCGCAGAUAUCGAGGAGGAACACCGGUGGCGAAGGCGGGUU